rnacentral:rRNA from 1 species
AACGAACGCUGGCGGCAUGCCUAACACAUGCAAGUCGAACGAGACCUUCGGGUCUAGUGGCGCACGGGUGCGUAACGCGUGGGAACCUGCCUUUAGGUUCGGAAUAACUCAGAGAAAUUUGAGCUAAUACCGGAUGAUGUCUUCGGACCAAAGAUUUAUCGCCUUUAGAUGGGCCCGCGUUGGAUUAGCUAGUUGGUGGGGUAAAGGCCUACCAAGGCGACGAUCCAUAGCUGGUCUGAGAGGAUGAUCAGCCACACUGGGACUGAAACACGGCCCAGACUCCUACGGGAGGCAGCAGUGGGGAAUAUUGGACAAUGGGCGAAAGCCUGAUCCAGCAAUGCCGCGUGAGUGAUGAAGGCCUUAGGGUUGUAAAGCUCUUUUACCCGAGAUGAUAAUGACAGUAUCGGGAGAAUAAGCUCCGGCUAACUCCGUG